rnacentral:lncRNA from 1 species
GAAGCUGCCAUUGGAUUCAAGGCGAAGUAUUUACUGAAAUGGUUAACGUGACAGCUGGGGGGAAGAGGGAUCAUCAAAUGAGAUUAUGAGGCGACAGGUUCAAAAGAAGAUGCCUCUUCGCACAAAAUGCAAUUACAUCUUGGAACACGUCGCUACAGGAUGUUGGGGAUGUGAGAAGCUCAAAAUGCAAUUAGGUAUGAUCAUAGAAGAAAAAUCCAUGUGGGGACGUCCGACACGAACACCUCUGAUUCAGGACCUCUUUGAGGUGCAAAUGCGCAUCCUGCGGAAGCGUUUUGGGGAGCAGCCUCCCCAGUCCUCACUCUGUCAUUAGGCGAUUCCUGUCGGCUGCUGUAGGAGAUAAUCCUGGACGGGGACUAGAAAUGCUGCUCCUCUGACCCAGCGCAGGCAUCCCUGUGUUUAACCGUCAUUUCAUUCAAACGUUUUCCCACAAUCUUUAAUCAAUAACAAGCAGCAAUUCUGGUAAUAAACUUUUUGCGGUGCCUCAGUGGUGUUUCCUUGUGUGUUUGUUCUUCCCCGCCUGCUGCUUUGAUUGUGGGCUGGAAGGAGGGCGGAAGGCUGUUUGGCCAUUUGUUUGUGUAGCACCAGUUUAUCAAACCGAGCACUGAUCUGUGCUUGCGCUUUCCAGCAUCCGUAUUCUUUGAUACGAAUAAACGAUUGAUCUAUGUCUCUGAAGGUGGCCACAAGCCAAAAGGUUUGCUGCUCAUAUAAACGCCCACAGCAGGCAAACAGGGAGCUCCACUCCUCGUUAGCUAGCAGAACGAGCCAGGUGGGUGGCUUGAGGUGGCUUGGCCUCUGCCCCAAGGGUCUGCACACACGAGAGGUCUUCUACUCCACGUCCACACAUGACUGCCUUUGUGUUGGGUGCCUCGGCUGGAAAGGACGGGGUGUCCCUGAGGAGACAUGCCUAAACUAUAAUGCUCUGCAAUGGAAGUGCCCUGAGGUCAUAUGGGGAACAGGAACACGAUCGCCUCACUGUAUUGCACAGUAUUCACAAGAGAACUUCUGA